AGAAGUGUUUUCUUGACUCCUGCCAUUAGAGAAAUAGCUGAAGUCAUCAACGUUCCAAGUUUAUGUUGGACUGUCUUCAGAAAUUCAAGGCCUUCUCGUCAAAAGAGGAAGUGCAAGCAGCCCAUCAAAAAGCAGGACUAUUUCUGCUAGCUGCUCAUGACUGAUGUCUGGCUGGGCUGACAUGACUUCCCAUGUUUCACAAUGCAUGUCCUCCUUGCACCCAAAAGAUGCAGUCAGUGGCUAAGCCCAAGAUCACAUGACCCCAACAACUGCAUGCCGAUCAAGGCGACGUGCUGUUUACGAUUUUAUUUGUUGCACAAGUUGUUUUCCAUGAUUUGUGAUUUAUUGCUCCUGUCAUAAUUACAUGUGGUCAUAAUAACGGCAAGCAUGAGGAGAAAAGAAUAGAAAGGAGCCUGAAUGGCAGCUCUGAGAAUAUAUGGAUAUAUUUCAAAUCA